UUUUGAAAAAAAAAAAUGUAACAAGGUUUCCGUAGGUGAACCUGCGGAAGGAUCAUUACUGAUUUGCUUAAUUGCACCACAUGUGUUUUUUAUUGAACAAAUUUCUUUGGUGGCGGGAGCAAUCCUACCGCCAGAGGUUAUAAUUAAACCAAACUUUUUAUUUACAGUCAAACUUGAUUUAUUAUUACAAUAGUCAAAACUUUCAACAACGGAUUUCUUGGUUCUCGCAUCGAUGAAGAACGCAGCGAAAUGCGAUACGUAAUAUGAAUUGCAGAUAUUCGUGAAUCAUGGAAUCUUUGAACGCCCAUUGCGCCCUUUGGUAUUCCAAAGGGCAUGCCUGUUUGAGCGUCAUUUCUCCCUCAAACCCCCGGGUUUGGUGUUGAGCAAUACGCUAGGUUUGUUUGAAAGAAUUUACGUGGAAACUUAUUUUAAGCGACUUAGGUUUAUCCAAAAACGCUUAUUUUGCUAGUGGCCACCACAAUUUAUUUCAUAACUUGACCUCAAAUCAGUAGACAGCCAUC
rnacentral:rRNA from 1 species